rnacentral:lncRNA from 1 species
GAGUUGUUUAACGACUCAGAUGAGAUGCUGCAGAACAAAUCGCACAAACCAAACGUGACCAUAGAAGAGACACCGGACGCGAGCGAAGAGUCUGAAGUAGAGGAGGAAAUUCCACCGAAAGGAAAAGGGAAACGAACGUAAUGAAAAGUAGUGAAACUGAUUUACUUAUAUUAUUAUACUUAUAUAGUCAAAUAAAUUUACCACCAGGGCCUUUCUAGUAA